GUGUAAUGUAACAGUGUGGACACUAAGUGUAAUGUAACAGUGUGGAUGCCAGGUGUAAUGUAACAGUGUGGACACUAGGUGUAAUGUAACAGUGUGGAUGCCAGGUGUAAUGUAACAGUGUGGAUGCCAGGUGUAAUGUAACAGUGUGGAUGCCAGGUGUAAUGUAACAGUGUGGACGCCAGGUGUAAUGUAACAUUGUGGACACUAGGUGUAAUGUAAUAGUGUGGAUGCCAGGUGUAAUGUAACAGUGUGGAUGCCAGGUGUAAUGUAACAGUGUGGACGCCAGGUGUAAUGUAACAUUGUGGACACUAGGUGUAAUGUAACAUUGUGGAUGCCAGGUGUAAUGUAAGUGUGGAUGCCAGGUGUAAUGUAACAUUGUGGAUGCCAGGUGUAAUGUAAGUGUGGAUGCCAG
ensembl:lncRNA